AUGCGGGAGAAGAGGCGAGGUAAUGGGCCAGAGGAAGACAAAGAUCCGGGAGGACUGCCCUGUACAAACCAUCUGGCCCCCACUUUACUGCGCCUCAUCGGGGAGGACGCCCACACCCUCUCUCUCCAGCUCCCUCAGGGCGGCUCCAGGGGACACCGGGGCUUCAGACCCCCGGAAGGUGCAGGGCCCCAGGACCUCACGGGCCGGCAAGAGGAAGGAUCCUCAGGGCCAGUCAACCACGAUGCAGGCGCCUCUGGUGCUCAUGAGAGCGGUGGGCGGGGGGUGGACCAGAGUCCGGCGGCCCGGGCGGAAGUGCCCCUCGUGGGCGAUGCUGUGGGUGUGCCAGGGUCCGUGAUAAAACGCCAGAAGUCCCUUGACCAAGCCAGCCUUGAGCAGGUGGGUCCCAGAAGCUAUUCAGGCCUCAUCUCCUCCACAGCCAGGCCAUACUACGGCCUCCUGGGACGGGAGGAUGGAGGACAGAGCCCCAAGGAGCGCGUUCAGAAAUGGCUCAGCUGGACUCAGGUGGCCGCUGCCGGCCCCGGGUGCACCACGUACAAGCUGCGCGACCUUGGGGCAGUCACUAACUCUGUGUUGACUGAAACCAGCCCCAGACUCUUCCCACUGAGCCUCAGCAGUGCCAACUCAGACGGGCAGGUGGUCAUCGCCUGCCUGGUCCAGGGCUUCUUCCCGUCAGAGCCACUGAAGGUGACCUGGAGCCAGAGCGGCAGGGACGUGUCCAUCAGGAACUUCCCCCCUGCUCAGGCCGGGGGCCUGUACACCAUGAGCAGCCAGCUGACCGUGCCGGCCGACCAGUGCCCAGACAGCAAGUCUGUGAAAUGCCAAGUGCAGCACCUCUCCAAACCCAGCCAGGCCGUGGACGUGCCCUGCAAAGGUCCAGAUCCGCCGUGUCCAGUUGUGUGCAAGGUCAGCCUGUCCUUGCACCCACCGGCCCUUGAGGACCUGCUCCUGGGCUCCAAUGCCAGCCUCACGUGUACGCUGAGUGGCCUGAGAGACCCCAAGGGCGCCACCUUCACCUGGAACCCGACAGGUGGGAAGAAUGCCAUCCAGGAGCAGCACAAGCCUGACCUCUGCGGCUGCUUCAGCGUGUCCAGUGUCCUGCCGCGCUGCACCGAUCCCUGGAAAAAAGGACAGUCCUUCUCCUGCACUGCCACCCACCCCGAGUCCAAGAACCCGCUAACCGCCACCAUCAAGAAACCCUCAGAGAACACGUUCCGGCCACAGGUCCACCUGCUGCCGCCGCCGUCGGAGGAGCUGGCCCUCAACGAGCUGGUGACGCUGACGUGCCUGGUGCGAGGUUUCAACCCCAAGGAUGUGCUGGUGCGGUGGCUGCAGGGGAACCAGGAGCUGCCCCGCGAGAAGUACCUGACCUGGAGCUCCCUGCCCGAGCGCAGCCAGAGCGUCCCCACCUUCGCCGUGACCAGCGUGCUGCGCGUGGACGCCGAGGCCUGGAAGCAGGGGGAGUCCUUCUCCUGCAUGGUGGGCCACGAGGCCCUGCCCCUGGCCUUCACCCAGAAGACCAUCGACCGCCUGGCGGGCCCUCCAUGUCUUACAGAUCACCAGGACCCGCUGCCCUGGCUGGUGCUGGACAUGCUGCGGGAGGGCCCCGAGGAGGACAGCCUGGAAGCCAGCCUGUGGCCCACCACCAUUACCCUGCUCACCCUCUUCCUGCUGAGCCUCUUCUACAGCACGGCGCUGACCGUGACGAGCGUUCGGGGCCCGCCUGACAGCCGAGAGGGCCCCCAGUACUGA